rnacentral:tRNA from 1 species
UCCCUGGUGGCUUAGAUGGUAAAGUGUCUGCCUACAAUGCAGGAUACCCAGGUUCGAUCCCUGGGCCGGGAA